rnacentral:rRNA from 1 species
GGCCGCGGGAAUUCGAUUGAGUUUGAUCCUGGCUCAGGAUGAACGCUGGCGGCGUGCCUAACACAUGCAAGUCGAGCGGAGCGGUCUUGAUGAAGUUUUCGGAUGGAAUCAGGAUUGUCUUAGCGGCGGACGGGUGAGUAACACGUGGAUAACCUGCCUUAUACUGGGGGAUAACAGCCAGAAAUGGCUGCUAAUACCGCAUAAGCGCACGGCGCCGCAUGGCGCAGUGUGAAAAACUCCGGUGGUAUAAGAUGGAUCCGCGCCUGAUUAGCUAGUUGGCGGGGCAGCGGCCCACCAAGGCGACGAUCAGUAGCCGGCCUGAGAGGGCGAUCGGCCACAUUGGGACUGAGACACGGCCCAAACUCCUACGGGAGGCAGCAGUGGGGAAUAUUGCACAAUGGGGGGAACCCUGAUGCAGCGACGCCGCGUGAGUGAAGAAGUAUUUCGGUAUGUAAAGCUCUAUCAGCAGGGAAGAAGAUGACGGUACCUGACUAAGAAGCCCCGGCUAACUACGUGCCAGCAGCCGCGGUAAUACGUAGGGGGCAAGCGUUAUCCGGAUUUACUGGGUGUAAAGGGAGCGUAGACGGCAGGGCAAGUCUGGAGUGAAAGCCCGGGGCCCAACCCCGGGACUGCUUUGGAAACUGCCAUGCUGGAGUGCUGGAGAGGUAAGCGGAAUUCCUAGUGUAGCGGUGAAAUGCGUAGAUAUUANGAGGAACACCAGUGGCGAAGGCGGCUUACUGGACAGUAACUGACGUUGAGGCUCGAAAG